rnacentral:rRNA from 1 species
AUUGAACGCUGGCGGCAGGCCUAACACAUGCAAGUCGAACGAGUGGCGGACGGGUGAGUAAUGUCUGGGAAACUGCCCGAUGGAGGGGGAUAACUACUGGAAACGGUAGCUAAUACCGCAUACCCUCAGAUGUGCCCAGAUGGGUUUAGCUAGUAGGUGGGGUAAAGGCUCACCUAGGCGACGAUCCCUAGCUGUUCUGAGAGGAUGACCGGCCACACUGGAACUGAGCGACGGUCCAGACGCCUACGGUAGGCAGCAGUGGGGAAUAUUGCACAAUGGGAGCAAGCCUGAUGCAGCCAUGCCGCGUGUAUGAAGAAGGCCUUCGGGUUGUAAAGUACUUUCAGCGGGGAGGCGUUACCCGCAGAAGAAGCACCGGCUAACUCCGUGCCAGCAGCCGCGGUAAUAC